rnacentral:rRNA from 1 species
AACGAACGCUGGCGGCAGGCCUAACACAUGCAAGUCGAGCGGGCGCGAGCGAUCGCGUCAGCGGCGCACGGGUGAGUAACGCGUGGGAACCUGCCCUCUGGUCUGGAACAACCCUGGGAAACUAGGGCUGAUACCGGAUGCGCCUUUUUGUUCCGCGAGGGAUGAGGAGGGAAAGAUUUAUCGCCGAAGGAGGGGCCCGCGUCCGAUUAGCUAGUUGGGGGGGUAAUGGCCCACCAAGGCUUCGAGCGGUAGCUGGUCUGAGGGGACGACCAGCCACACUGUGACUGAGACACGGCCCAGACUCCUACGGGAGGCAGCAGUGGGGAAUAUUGGACAAUGGGCGCAAGCCUGAUCCAGCCAUGCCGCGUGGGUGAUGAAGGCCUUCGGGUUGUAAAGCCCUUUUGGCGGGGACGAUGAUGACGGUACCCGCAGAAUAAGCCCCGGCUAACUUCGUGCCAGCAGCCGCAGUAACAC